ensembl:lncRNA
CGGUGGGGGUCCAGGCGGGCGUUUGUCCUUCCCUACAAGUAAACAGAGCUUCAGGUGAGCGCUUGUCCCCGUUUAAGGGGUGCUGAAGGAAUGUUGGUCCCUCACAAGCAGUACACUGAAAUUCAAGGCCAGAUUGGGCCUUCAGUUUUCUUUAAGCAGAACUCCUCAUUAAAGUCAGUAAAGAGCUCUGUUUUGAAAUCAAUGGCACAUUAUGGCCCCAAGUGAGCACUUAAGGGAGAACUAUAAUUCCUUUCUAUUCCAUGGACUAACUAACUUCAGGAAAUAAAACAUUUUUUUGAGGAUUUUUUGUUUUUCUUUUUGACUUGAAUGCUGGUUCAGCUUGAAUAUAAAAAGACAGAAAUAGAGCAAGAUGGUUGGUAAGAUUUGUCCUUGGGUCACACUUAUGGGAGGGGGCAGGGGGGGUAGAAAAGAAAUCCCUCGGUUUCCAAUCAGUAAAUAUUGAAAAUUGCCCUCUCUGUGUGGACGGGCUGGUGGUGCGUCAAUUUCAAUGUAAGACGUGCAGUGUCUAUUCACUGUAGCCUUGGGUGCCCCCCCUGUCCCCCAGACUUAAACGAGACCUGCAGCAGGCUCCUGCCUGCGACACUUUGAGUUUCUGCUAUUUCAGCAAUAGGCUCCCAAAGCCAGGAUAAUGUGAACGGGAGAGGCUUAAAACAAACAAGCGAUUGAGGGGUCCAAAUCGCUCUUUCAGGCACACGCAGCUAAACCUUCCUUCGCGGGAGAGGGCGGUGGUUUUUAAUCUCGCCUCCGAAUUCCUCCCGAGCGGGGGGUCUCCCCUCGGCGAGGGGCGGGCGGCAGAGGUGAGUGGCUCUCCUCGCCCCGCGCGAGGGGAGUGGGUGGCAGAGAGGGGAGGACAGGCGAGUUGCGUAGCAGGGCGAGGUGGGUUUCCAUGCUCGGCAAUUGCGCACGGUCCCUUACGUAACCGUCAGCUGGGGAUUCCCUGGAGGGGGUCACUUUAUUCAACCAUUACACAGACCCCGGCCGCCGCCGCUCCGCCGCGCCCGGGGCCGCCGCCGGCUGAGGCUGAGGCUGCGGCUCCGGCUGCAGGCAGCGCGGCGGCGGCUCCUCACAAAAUGGCGGCGCCCAUGGAAGCGGCAGCAGCCCCAUUUUGUGCCCGGCAGAGCCUGUCAACAAAACGCCGACUUGGCCAAGGCUGAGGAACAGAAGGCGGCGGCUUCGUUCGCGUUACGGCGCGGAGGGAGGAGAGCGGAGGAUUUCACCGCCCUCCCGCCGCCGAGAGGAGACUUUUCUACAAAUGCGUGCCUUAUGAAUAAACCGGCUAUUAGGCUGAUGCUUCAAGUAACACUAUCCAGCACCAAGAAGCAGAAGUACAAAACGUCUGGAAGAAAUGAAGUGCAAUUUGUGGAAGAAGCAGAGCUGUACGCAUCAUGUAGACGUAGCUGCACAUGGAACUCCCCCCCAGUGUGAGGAUGAACCUGCUCUCCAUGCCUCGGCCAGCUCAGGAAACGCGGCUCUGAGCAGGAGAACAUCCAGCCCUGCAAACAGCGAAGGCAGGACAUCUCUCCCCUGUCAACUCUGUCCUG